AUACGUAGGGAGCGAGCGUUGUCCGGAAUUACUGGGUGUAAAGGGAGCGUAGGCGGGACUGCAAGUCAGAUGUGAAAUACCGGGGCUUAACCCCGGAGCUGCAUUUGAAGCUGGGGUUCUUGAGUGAAGUAGAGGCAAGCGGAAUUCCUGGUGUAGAGGUGAAAUGCGUAGAUAUCAGGAGGAACACCGGUGGCGAAGGCGGCUUGCUGGGCUUUUACUGACGCUGAGGCUCGAAAGCGUGGGUAGCAAACAGGAUUAGAUACCCUGGUAGUCCACGCUGUAAACGAUGAUUACUAGGUGUGGGGGGACUGACCCCUUCCGUGCCGCAGUUAACACAAUAAGUAAUCCACCUGGGGAGUACGGCCGCAAGGUUGAAACUCAAAUGAAUUGACGGGG
rnacentral:rRNA from 1 species